GGUUAAGCGACUAAGCGUACACGGUGGAUGCCCUGGCAGUCAGAGGCGAUGAAGGACGUGCUAAUCUGCGAUAAGCGUCGGUAAGGUGAUAUGAACCGUUAUAACCGGCGAUUUCCGAAUGGGGAAACCCAGUGUGUUUCGACACACUAUCAUUAACUGAAUCCAUAGGUUAAUGAGGCGAACCGGGGGAACUGAAACAUCUAAGUACCCCGAGGAAAAGAAAUCAACCGAGAUUCCCCCAGUAGCGGCGAGCGAACGGGGAGCAGCCCAGAGCCUGAAUCAGUGUGUGUGUUAGUGGAAGCGUCUGGAAAGGCGCGCGAUACAGGGUGACAGCCCCGUACACAAAAAUACACAUACUGUGAGCUCGAUGAGUAGGGCGGGACACGUGGUAUCCUGUCUGAAUAUGGGGGGACCAUCCUCCAAGGCUAAAUACUCCUGACUGACCGAUAGUGAACCAGUACCGUGAGGGAAAGGCGAAAAGAACCCCGGCGAGGGGAGUGAAAAAGAACCUGAAACCGUGUACGUACAAGCAGUGGGAGCACAGAGCAAUCUGUGUGACUGCGUACCUUUUGUAUAAUGGGUCAGCGACUUAUAUUCUGUAGCAAGGUUAACCGAAUAGGGGAGCCGAAGGGAAACCGAGUCUUAACUGGGCGUUAAGUUGCAGGGUAUAGACCCGAAACCCGGUGAUCUAGCCAUGGGCAGGUUGAAGGUUGGGUAACACUAACUGGAGGACCGAACCGACUAAUGUUGAAAAAUUAGCGGAUGACUUGUGGCUGGGGGUGAAAGGCCAAUCAAACCGGGAGAUAGCUGGUUCUCCCCGAAAGCUAUUUAGGUAGCGCCUCGUGAAUUCAUCUCCGGGGGUAGAGCACUGUUUCGGCAAGGGGGUCAUCCCGACUUACCAACCCGAUGCAAACUACGAAUACCGGAGAAUGUUAUCACGGGAGACACACGGCGGGUGCUAACGUCCGUCGUGAAGAGGGAAACAACCCAGACCGCCAGCUAAGGUCCCAAAGUCAUGGUUAAGUGGGAAACGAUGUGGGAAGGCCCAGACAGCCAGGAUGUUGGCUUAGAAGCAGCCAUCAUUUAAAGAAAGCGUAAUAGCUCACUGGUCGAGUCGGCCUGCGCGGAAGAUGUAACGGGGCUAAACCAUGCACCGAAGCUGCGGCAGCGACGCUUAUGCGUUGUUGGGUAGGGGAGCGUUCUGUAAGCCUGCGAAGGUGUGCUGUGAGGCAUGCUGGAGGUAUCAGAAGUGCGAAUGCUGACAUAAGUAACGAUAAAGCGGGUGAAAAGCCCGCUCGCCGGAAGACCAAGGGUUCCUGUCCAACGUUAAUCGGGGCAGGGUGAGUCGACCCCUAAGGCGAGGCCGAAAGGCGUAGUCGAUGGGAAACAGGUUAAUAUUCCUGUACUUGGUGUUACUGCGAAGGGGGGACGGAGAAGGCUAUGUUGGCCGGGCGACGGUUGUCCCGGUUUAAGCGUGUAGGCUGGUUUUCCAGGCAAAUCCGGAAAAUCAAGGCUGAGGCGUGAUGACGAGGCACUACGGUGCUGAAGCAACAAAUGCCCUGCUUCCAGGAAAAGCCUCUAAGCAUCAGGUAACAUCAAAUCGUACCCCAAACCGACACAGGUGGUCAGGUAGAGAAUACCAAGGCGCUUGAGAGAACUCGGGUGAAGGAACUAGGCAAAAUGGUGCCGUAACUUCGGGAGAAGG
rnacentral:rRNA from 1 species